rnacentral:rRNA from 1 species
UACGGAGGAUCCAAGCGUUAUUCGGAAUUACUGGGCUUAAAGGGUGCGUAGGCGGCGCGGAAAGUUGGGUGUGAAAUCCCUCGGCUCAACCGAGGAACUGCGCCCAAAACUACCGUGCUCGAGGAAGAUAGAGGUGAGCGGAACUUACGGUGGAGCGGUGAAAUGCGUUGAUAUCGUAAGGAACACCCGUGGCGAAAGCGGCUCACUGGGUCUUCUCUGACGCUGAUGCACGAAAGCUAGGGGAGCAAACGGG